rnacentral:misc_RNA from 1 species
GAAAAGUUAGAACUAGAGAUUGAAAUUGAAGAAAAAUAAAUGUUUAUGAUAAAUUGCUUUGAUUUUAUUUCGUAUUCUGAUUUUUUUCAUUUGGUAAAGUCAUGUGUAGCCUGCAAGAAGUCAGAUCCACUUAAACCAGCGCAGAGACCUGAGCUGCAGCAAAUAAAGGUGUUAAGUCCUUUUGAACUGGUUAGAGUUGACCUGAUAGGAUCUUUCACAGCCACUAGUCAAGGUUGUCUUUACAUCCUCACUGCAACAGACUAUUACACAAAGUGGGUUGAGGCAUUUCUUAUUCCAUCAAAGCAGGCCUCAGAUGUUGCUAAGUGCUUCCAAAAGCUUUUCCUAGACGUGGUGCUGUGAAUGCUGUUCCCACUGACCAGGGAAAAGUAUUUGUAAACUGUAUUAUAAAUGCAUUCCUGCGGAUGAUUAAGGCGCGAGACAUUACAUCAGAGAGCCCCAUCUUCUUGCUCUCUUCCUACACAGCGUUGUGGAAUGCUGGUGACAUAUUUAAAAAGGUGCAGUUUAGAAAGUACAGAUACAUUGUAAAUGCCUGUAGAUGUCAACAACAAUCAUUUGGUACUUUUAGUAGCAAGUGUGAGAGACAGAACCAAACGUUUUUUGUUUCCAUGAAUGGAAGUAAUGGAGAUAUGUUCAUUGACCUGUGGAGGUACGUAGAUUAUGACAGUUUGGCAACAAACAACCAAACCUAUGUCAUUCCUGUAUGCUUCAAUCAGCUGUAUCGGAGUCCGUAUUGAAAAUGACAGGUAAGAUAAGAUAAGAUUAUUAGAGUCUCAUUUUCCUAGAUAUAUAUACUAUACAUUAUUAAUCUUAACAUACGAUUUAUCAAAGUCAAAAAGAUAAAAAAAUUAGAAAAAAAGCAUUCCAAGAACAGUUGUAAAUCUCAUAUUAAGUGCUCAGGUUGAACUAUUGUGAUUGCUCACUGUCUGGCGUCCUUCCGUGCAUCUGUCUGAUGUCUGGCGUCCGUCCACACUUUCCUUUAAACAACAUCUCCUAAACCAUCAGACCAAUUGUGAUGAAACAUCACACUGAGAGAUGUUCCUUGGAUGGCCUAAUUCAAAGAAUUGAAUUCCAUACAGAACUCUGGUUGUCACGGCAACCAAAAGGAAAAACUGUAAAAAUAUUCUAUGUUUAUUUGUGUAUAUUUUAUAACUUAUAGUGCGGAGUGGAUGUUAAUGAUAAAUAGUUACCCCACCAAUAAUAUUGCAGCAGUCAUGAUAUUUACAUCUUUAUCACAAGUGACCUUACUACACCUGUGUUUACCAGUAACGCAUGAUACCUGGUGACGAUCAACGAGGAUGAAGAAAAAAUGUAUCAUCAAGGUUACUGCUACACAACACAGACUUGUUGUGAGCUGUAAUGCAGGACUAACACCUGGUGUCCAUACUGUCAAAUAUGAGGAAAUAAGCAUGAAAUGGAGACAACAAUGCCAAGAUAACUCAGUAUUGCCAGCCACAAGCACUGUUGAAAACCAAAAAAAACAAAAAAAUACUGGCUGAAUAACGAACAGUGCAGAUCAUGAUCAGACUGCACAGAAGACAGAAUCAGUCGUGUCCAGGAUGAAGAGAAUCAGGAGCCCGAUGUGUUGGUUGAUGUUGAUAUAGAAGAGGGAGAGAUUGAUGAUCAUCAUGACUCUCAAAUGAUUAGUCAGACCUUGUCCGAAGCUGACCUGGACAUUAAUGAUACAACUAGUUGCUGGGCCCGCAGACAGUGGCAGAUGUACUACAGCAUGCAAGCGGUAUGAACACCACGGCAGGCCCCGCACACACAAGGGUGGUCCUCUCUAACAAUGAUCUGAGAAUCAUUUCGAGACAGGAGGAAGAUAUCUUUGAGGAGUUGUUCCAGUGACAGUUGGAUGCAGUCCAGAGAUCUAGACAGUUGUAUGCAAUCAGAUCUGGACAGUUGUAUACAGUCAGAUCUCAGCAGUUGUAUGCAGUCAGGAGAUCUAGACAGUUGUAUGCAGUCAUAUCUUGACAGUUGUAUGCAGUCCGGAGAUCUCGACAGUUGUAUGCAGUCAGAAGAUCUCAACAGAUGUAUGCAGCCCGGGGAUCUCAACAGUUGUAUGCAGUCCGGGGAUCUUGACAGCUGUAUGCACUCCGGAGAUAUUGACAGUUGCAGUCAGGAGAUCUCGACAGUUGUAUGCAGUCAGGAGAUCUCAGUUCUUUUUGUACUGUUGGCAUUCUCAAUAUUCAGUCUCAAAUAGAAAUAUCUUUGACUGCUUAAAAGCUUCUCUAUAACUUUUAAAUGUGCAGCCUGUGACAUUCUUAUAUAGAAGACAUGUGUGUAAAAUACAGUGAAUGUGAACUGUCACUGAUAAGUUGAAAUGUUUCAAGAAAUGUUUUUAACACAGUGAGAAUGAAAAUAAGAAAUCAUUAGGAAGUAAGCUAUGGACAUUUGAACAAAGACCAGUGACUUUUUGGUUUGGCACAGUCCAAUAUAAUGAUGGAUGUCUUUGACUGAAAAAGAAGACCACAAACUGGACACCCAGGAAAAUGGAAUAAUGUUGUUUGAAUAAAUGUUUUUUUUUUCUUAUUUUGUAAAAAAAUCCCUUGCAUGUCCUGUCUGAAAAAUGUUGGUAGUUGUUUUUACCAAAGGCCCUUUAAUUGACUUGGGUAUUACUUAAAUUUCAUAUUGUUUGAUUGCUUUACAUAAAUUUUAAACUGAUCAAUGUAUUAUGAAAAUGAUGCACUUGGGCUUACUGUAGGGAAUUUACCUUUGUCAGUCUUCAAAUUUUUGUGUCAGUCUAUGAAUUUUUGUAUGUCAGUCUUUGAAUUUUUGUAUGUCAGUCUUCGAAUUUUUUUGUGUCAGUCUUUGAAUUUUUGUAUGUCAGUCUUCGAAUUUUUGUAUGUCAGUCUUCGAAUUUUUGUAAUGUUGCACAUGUUUUGCAGUUCAUGAGAUGUAGUUAACAACUGACAGUUGUUAUAUGCAUGGAGGCUUGUUUUGUGUCGAAAUAUAAAGAUCUAAUUAUAUUCUUUCUACAGUACAUAUUUUGAGUUAAUAUGAAUAGAACAGUAUAGACAGCAAAAAGUAUUGAUUGGCAUGCUUGAUUUUUGUGAGUCUGCUUUGAAAAAUCACAAUACCUCAUCAUUCCUAACAGUCUGAUAUAACAUCAUAGUUUUAAAGAAUUUACUGUGUAAAGAAAUGUAGAUUUUGACAAAAGAUCUAACAUUUGCAAAAGUACCAAUAUUGUGUCAUGUAUUGAGCUAUAUAUAUAUAUGUAUUAUACUGGAUCAACCAUUCGAUGUACCAUCAGAAGAACUAUUCAAGGAGCUCAACUGGAUGAAAUUCCAUGACUGAGUCGACUACAAAACAGCAAUUUUGGAAAAUCUUUAAAUGGGUUGAACCCCGAUUAUCUUAAAGUAAAGUUUACAUACUCUCAAAAUAAGUUGUUAAGAUCUUUUUACCUUGUUGUUUGUUCAAUAUGUUUAUAAAUG